UUUCUCUCAGAUUGCUCCCCGUAGAGGCAGGCCCUCACUUGAGGCGCUAGCAUGUGUUGGAAAUAUUGCUAAAGCAAUGGGACCAACCAUGGAGCCUCAUGUUCGUGGUCUCUUGGAUUCUAUGUUUUCUUCUGGGCUUUCCCUGACUCUGGUGGAAGCGUUGGAGCAAAUAACUGAAAGGUUCUCUCUGAGUUUGCAUAGAACUUUCAUGAAUUAGUUCUUUUGUGAGGUGUUGCUCAAGGGUAACAUAUGUAUUUUCUGUGUCUCAGCAUUCCACCUUUGUUGCCGACCAUCCAGAAUCGGCUGCUUGAAUUUAUCUCAACAAUCCUUUCAAGAUCUCAUCAUUCAAUGCCAAGACAAUCAACUUCUGUGAGUCGAGGGCAUAUUACAACGGUUACCCCCCAAGUACCAGAACUGAGUGGUUCUGCGCUAGUUCAACUUGCUUUGAGAACCCUUGCUCGUUUUAAUUUCAAGGUUUGUCAUCUAUAUUUCUGUGCG
rnacentral:lncRNA from 1 species